AUUGAACGCUGGCGGCAGGCCUAACACAUGCAAGUCGAGCGCGAAAGUUCUUCGGAAUGAGUAAAGCGGCGGACGGGUGAGUAAUACAUGGGAAUCUGCCUGGUAGUGGGGGACAACGUUUCAAAAGGAACGCUAAUACCGCAUACGCCCUACGGGGAAAGGGGGGGAUCUUCGGACCUCUCGCUAUCAGAUGAGCCCAU
rnacentral:rRNA from 1 species